rnacentral:rRNA from 1 species
AUUGAACGCUGGCGGCAGGCUUAACACAUGCAAGUCGAGCGAGUGGCGGACGGGUGAGUAAUGUCUGGGAAACUGCCUGAUGGAGGGGGAUAACUACUGGAAACGGUAGCUAAUACCGCAUACCAUCGGAUGUGCCCAGAUGGGAUUAGCUAGUAGGUGGGGUAAAGGCUCACCUAGGCGACGAUCCCUAGCUGGUCUGAGAGGAUGACCAGGCAAACUUGAACUUGGACACGGGCCAGACCCCUACGGGAGGCAGCAUGGGGGAAUUUUGGACAAUGGGGGCAAGCCUGAUGGAGCCAUGCCGCGUGGAGGAAGAAGGCCUUCGGGUUUUAAAGUACUUUCAGCGGAGAAGCGGUACCCGCAGAAGAAGCACCGGCUAACUCCGUGCCAGCCGCCGCGGUAAUAC